AGCGAAUUAGCUGGAUAGAGCACCUGCCUUCUAAGCAGGCGGUCGAAGGUUCGAAUCCUUCUGCCAUCA
rnacentral:tRNA from 1 species